AAAGUACUCCCUCCAUCCCAAAAUUCUUGUCUUAGAUUUGUCUAGAUACGGAUGUAUCAAGUCACAUUUUAGUAUUAGAUACAUCUGUAUCUAGAAAAAUCUAAGACAAGAAAUUUGGGACAGAGGGAGUAGUUG
rnacentral:pre_miRNA from 1 species